AUGAAAUCCCUACAAAAGUUGUAUCCAUUUGACACGUUGCACACCUCACUCGACAGUAUCAAGGGCCUAGGGAAGCUCACCAAUCUGAGUGCUCUAGUUCUUAAAACUGGUUUAUCUAAAGAAGUGGACAUGGAUGUUCUAAACUCUUCUUUGGCAAAACUUUGUAACCUCGAGUCCCUAGAGAUAAUUCCAACUGGUUCUUGUAUACCUGAGAUAUUAACCUUGUCGCCUCCUCCCCCCAACCUCGUGACACUCUGCAUGAUCUCUGAAGGCAUUAACCGGGUCCCUAACUGGAUUGGGGAACUCCAUAACCUUCAGACCUUGGAUCUUGUUGUUGAGAAGAUGGACAAGGAUGGUUUUGGUAUUCUUGCAGGGUUACCAGCCCUCAUCGACCUGAAUUUAACAGUUGUUAGAGCCCUGGAAGAAACAAUUGCCAUCUAUGGGACAUCAUUCGCACACCUAAAGUCGUUUCAUGUGAGCUGCAUGAACAUGCCACACCUGAUCUUCCAAGCUGGUGUAAUGCCUAAGGUCUAG
rnacentral:rRNA from 1 species